UACGGAGGGGGCUAGCGUUGUUCGGAAUUACUGGGCGUAAAGCGCACGUAGGCGGCUUUGCAAGUUAGAGGUGAAAGCCCGGGGCUCAACUCCGGAAUUGCCUUUAAAACUGCAUCGCUAGAAUUGUGGAGAGGUAAGUGGAAUUCCGAGUGUAGAGGUGAAAUUCGUAGACAUUCGGAAGAACACCAGUGGCGAAGGCGACUUACUGGACACAUAUUGACGCUGAGGUGCGAAAGCAUGGGGAGCAAACAGG
rnacentral:rRNA from 1 species